CCUACGGGUGGCAGCAGUGAGGAAUAUUGGUCAAUGGGCGCGAGCCUGAACCAGCCAAGUAGCGUGAAGGAUGACUGCCCUACGGGUUGUAAACUUCUUUUAUAAAGGAGUAAAGUGAGGCACGAGUUCAUUUUUGUGUGUACUUUAUGAAUAAGGAUCGGCUAACUCCGUGCCAGCAGCCGCGGUAGUACGGAGGGUCCGAGCGUUAUCCGGAUUUCGUGGGUUUAAAGGGAGCGUAGAUGGGUUGUUAAGUCAGUUGUGAAAGGUUGCGGCUCAACCGUAAGAUUGCAAUUGAUACUGGCAGUCUUGAGUACAGUUGAGGUAGGCGGAAUUCGUGGUGUAGCGGUGAAAUGCUUAGAUAUCACGAAGAACCCCGAUUGCGAAGGCAGCUUACUAAACUGUGACUGACAUUGAUGCUCGAAAGUGUGGGUAUCAAACAGGAUUAGAUACCCUUGUAGUC
rnacentral:rRNA from 1 species